rnacentral:lncRNA from 1 species
UGGUGGGCCCAGCUUCAGCACUUGGGGCACCACUAAGGUAGAAAAAUUCCACCACAGUUUUUCAUGUAAACUCUACUCCUUUUGCAUCCUCCAACGACUAUUGAAUGGUGCAGCUGAAGAAUCCUGACUCCCUCCCUGCAGCAUUGACACCUUGUAAGUGCUACUAAGCACCUAUUGGCAUGCGUUUCUUACUAAGUGGUAAAUGUUAAUCACCACUGUGCUUAGCUAUUGUGAGGAUUCGGUCUGCUGCACAGGAAAGCACUUGGAGCAGAGUUCGCCCUUGACACUCCAUGGCAAGGUCAGUGAUCAGUCUUCCUUUCUUUAAUUAACUGCUUGAGAAAAUGUAUGCAGCUUAUACUCCAAAUCCCCCCAAAUCCUAUUUGAGCUCUGUGCUUUCUUGUCUACUUUAUUCAUAUGACCACCUUAAACGUUCUUCAUUUCCUAAGUCAAGAGCCCAGCCAUUCCAUUUCCAGGUAUUUACAAGAGAAAUAAAAACCGAAAAAGACUAAAAUAAGAAUAUUCAUGGCAGCUUUGUCUAUAAAAGCAAAAACAUGGAAAAAACCAAAUGUCUGUCAAAAGAGAAUGGAUAAACAGUUUGGUAGCCAUAAAAUGGACUACUACUUAAAAAUAAAAGGAAACAAACUAUUGAUAAAUAAAACAUCAUGCA